CCGUGAUCUAGGGUAGCUGAGGUUGUGCAGCAGUCAGGGCAGGAGUUGGGGUCCCUGGUUGGUAUUUGACAUUUUGCAGGAAGGAUUUUAAUUCGCUUUUCAGUUUCUGCUAUGGAAAGGAUUAGGGAGCAAGGCUCGGCAAGAACUGACUCACCUGAAGUCUGCUCUCACCAUCCUCACUACCACCAUUCCUGGCCCGGCCCUGACCUGAAGGACUGUGCACUGGGGAUCAGAGAGAUGGCCUGACUUCUGCACGUGCGAGAGAGGCUUUCUGGGAACUCUCCCAGGCCUGCUUUGUUCAGCAACGUCAACACAUGGUCCUCGGUGCCCAUUCAACCUCAACAGGAACCCCCAACUUGGGGUGUGGUGAGGAAGGGAAG